UAUUCCCCACUGCUGCCUCCCGUAGGAGUCUGGGCCGUGUCUCAGUCCCAAUGUGGCCGUUCAACCUCUCAGUCCGGCUACCGAUCGUCGCCUUGGUGGGCCGUUACCCCGCCAACAAGCUAAUCGGACGCGAGUCCAUCUCUAAGCGAUAAAUCUUUGAUAUCAAAGUCAUGCGGCCUCAAUAUGUUAUGCGGUAUUAGCGAUCUUUUCAGAACGUUAUUCCCCUCUUAGAGGCAGGUUACUCACGCGUUACUCACCCGUCCGCCACUAAGUUAAAAAUCCGUCAUCCCGAAGGAAUCCGUCAAAAUAACUCCGUUCGACUUGCAUGUGUUAGGCACGCCGCCAGCGUUCAUCCUGAGCCAA
rnacentral:rRNA from 1 species